rfam:Sedimentitalea nanhaiensis strain CGMCC 1.10959 genome assembly, contig: Ga0079838_103
UUUGGUGGUCAUAGCGCAAGUGAAACACCCGGUCCCAUCCCGAACCCGAUCGUUAAGCACUGUAGCGCCGAUGGUACUGCGUCUGAAGGCGUGGGAGAGUAGGUCACUGCCAAAC